AGCGAACGCUGGCGGCAGGCCUAAAACAUGCAAGUCGAACGGAUCCUUCGGGAUUAGUGGCGGACGGGUGAGUAACACGUGGAACGUGCCUUUUGGUUCGGAACAACUCAGGGAAACUUGAGCUAAUACCGAAUGUGCCCUUCGGGGAAAGAUUAUCGCCAUUAGAGCGGCCCGCGUCUGAUUAGCUUGUUGGUGAGGUAAAGGCUCACCAAGGCGACGAUCAGUAGCUGGUCUGAGAGGAUGAUCAGCCACACUGGGACUGAGACACGGCCCAGACUCCUACGGGAGGCAGCAGUUAGGAAUCUUGCGCAAUGGGGGAAACCCUGACGCAGCCAUGCCGCGUGGAUGAUGAAGGUCUUAGGAUUGUAAAAUUCUUUCAGCGGGGACGAUAAAUGACGGUACCCGCAGAAGAAGCCCCGGCUAACUUCGUGCCAGCAGCCGCGGUAA
rnacentral:rRNA from 1 species